rnacentral:tRNA from 1 species
GGGGAUUUAGCUCAAUGGUAGAGCACUUGCCUAGCAAGCACAAGGCCCUGGGUUCGGUCCCCAGCUCCCA